GUACUUGCCUGGCAAGGAGAUCGCAUGAUCACGAAGGUGGUUUUCCCAGGGUGAGGCUUCUCCAUUGCACUCCAGAUGUGCUGAUUCCUGCGGUUUCCCCAAAUGUGAGAAACUCGACUGCAUGAUUUGUUGUGGGGGACUGCAUUCAUAUUCUCCCCUU